rnacentral:rRNA from 1 species
GNGGCACCAUGACGUGAGAGAUGAGAUCUCGGGAGUGAUUGUGGCGGACGGGUGAGUACACGUGGGUACCUGCCUCAUAGAGGGGAACUAGCCCUUCCGAAAGGGAGAUUAUCCGCAUAACAUAGCACUACCGCAUGGUAGAGUUAUCAAAGGAGCAAUCCUGCUAUGAGAUGGACCCGCGGCGCAUUAGCUAGUUGGUGAGGUAACGGCUCACCAAGGCGACGGAUGCGGUAGCCGACCUGAGAGGGUGAUCGGCCACAAUUGGAACUGAGACACGGUCCAGACUCCUUCGGGAGGCAGCAGUGGGGAAUAUUGCGCAAUGGGGGAAACCCCUGACGCAGCAACGCCGCGUGAGUGAAGAAGGCCUUAGGGUUGUAAGCUCUGUCAUAUGGGAAGAUAUGACGGUCCAUAAGAGGAAGCCACGGCUACUACGUGCCAGCAGCCGCGGAAUCGUAGGUGGCGAGCGUGCCGGAUUNU